AACGAACGUUGGCGGCGUGGAUGAGGCAUGCAAGUCGAACGCGAAAGCCGCAAGGCGAGUAAAGUGGCGGACGGGCGAGUAACACGUAAUCAAGCUACCUGCGAGACGGGGAUAACUUCGGGAAACCGAAGCUAAGACCCGAUGGUCUUCUAGGAACGCAUGUUCCAUGAAGUAAAUGGGCGGGAUCCUCCGGGAUCGCCUGCUCGCAGAGGUGAUUGCGGCCCAUCAGCUAGUUGGUAGGGUAAUGGCCUACCAAGGCAACGACGGGUAGCCGGCCUUAGGGGGUGGUCGGCCGCACUGGGACUGAGACACUGCCCAGACUCCUACGGGAGGCUGCAGUCGAGAAUCUUCCGCAAUGGGCGAAAGCCUGACGGAGCGACGCCGCGUGGAGGAUGAAGGCCU
rnacentral:rRNA from 1 species